GACGAACGCUGGCGGCGUGCCUAAUACAUGCAAGUCGAACGCUUCUUUCCUCCCGAGUGCUUGCACUCAAUUGGAAAGAGGAGUGGCGGACGGGUGAGUAACACGUGGGUAACCUACCCAUCAGAGGGGGAUAACACUUGGAAACAGGUGCUAAUACCGCAUAACAGUUUAUGCCGCAUGGCAUAAGAGUGAAAGGCGCUUUCGGGUGUCGUUGAUGGAUGGACCCGCGGUGCAUUAGCUAGUUGGUGAGGUAACGGCUCACCAAGGCCACGAUGCAUAGCCGACCUGAGAGGGUGAUCGGCCACACUGGGACUGAGACACGGCCCAGACUCCUACGGGAGGCAGCAGUAGGGAAUCUUCGGCAAUGGACGAAAGUCUGACCGAGCAACGCCGCGUGAGUGAAGAAGGUUUUCGGAUCGUAAAACUCUGUUGUUAGAGAAGAACAAGGACGUUAGUAACUGAACGUCCCGUGACGGUAUCUAACCAGAAAGCCACGGCUAACUACGUG
rnacentral:rRNA from 1 species